rnacentral:rRNA from 1 species
UGGGGAAUUUUGGACAAUGGGGGCAACCCUGAUCCAGCCAUGCCGCGUGUCUGAAGAAGGCCUUCGGGUUGUAAAGGACUUUUGUCAGGGAAGAAAGGGUUUGUGCUAAUACCACGAACAUAUGACGGUACCUGAAGAAUAAGCACCGGCUAACUACGUGCCAGCAGCCGCGGUAAUACGUAGGGUGCGAGCGUUAAUCGGAAUUACUGGGCGUAAAGCGGGCGCAGACGGUUACUUAAGUCAGAUGUGAAAUCCCCGGGCUCAACCUGGGAACUGCGUUUGAAACUGGGUAGCUAGAGUAUGUCAGAGGGGGGUAGAAUUCCACGUGUAGCAGUGAAAUGCGUAGAGAUGUGGAGGAAUACCGAUGGCGAAGGCAGCCCCCUGGGAUAAUACUGACGUUCAUGCCCGAAAGCGUGGGUAGCAAACA